AUUUAUUGAUCAGCGCAGUCAAACUUGCCGGAGAACAGAAAAACUCUAGAAGCCGGUCAUGCGGAUGAAGGCCUUGUACGAGUUAAUGGGCAUGAUCCCCGGUAUAAUAGGACACGUUAUUCCAAUCUGACGGCAGUCAUUUACGAACUUGAGGAAGAUGUCAGUGUCAUAGAAGAGUUGGGUGAUGAUGACUUCACCUCCAGCAUCAAUCUGUUAGAUGAAAUAGUCAUGACAUGAUGAGUAGUGGGAAAGUGCUGUGUGUGUGUGUGUUUACCUUUUGCUUGAGAUAAACAAGUUCAUUCUGGUA